AUGUGGUCUCUCUCCCCUCCCUCCUUCCUUCUCUUCCUUCUCUUCUUUCCUCCCUUCCUUUCUCCCUCUCUUCCCCCUCUUUUCCUUUCUCCCUCCUUCCUCCCUCCCUUCCUCCUUUUCUCUUUUUCUUUCUUCCUUCCUCCCUCCCUCCCUCCCUUGCUCCUUUCCUCUCUCCCUUCCUUCUUUUUUCCUUCCCUCCUUCCUUCCCCCUUCCUUCCUUCCUUCCUUCCUUCCUUCCUUCCUUCCUUCCUUCCUUCCUUCCUUCCUUCCUUUCUUUCUUCCUUCUUCCCUCCCUCUCUUCCUCCUUUCCUCUCUCCUUUCCUUCCUUCUUUCCUUCAUUAUUUUCCCCCUUCCUUUUUAUCUUCCUCCCUCCCUCCCUUCUUCUCUUCCUUCCUUCCUCCUUUCCCUCCUUCCUUUCUCCCUCCUUUUCUCUUUUUCUUCCUUCCUUCCUUCCUCCCUCCCUCCCUUCCUCCUUUUCUCUCUCCCUUCCUUCCUUUUUUCCUUCCUUCCCUCCUUCCUCUCCCCUUUCUUCCUUCCUUCCUUCCUCCCUCCCUCCCUUCCUCCUUUUCUCUCUCCCUUCCUUCCUUCUUUCCUUCCUUCCCUCCUUCCUUUCCCCUUUCUUCGUUCUUUCCUUCCUCCCUCCCUCCCUUCCUCCUUUUCUCUCUCCCUUCCUUCCUUCUUUCCUUCCUUCCUUCCUUCCUUCCUUCCUUCCUUCCUUCCUUCCUUCCUUCCUUUCUUUCUUCCUUCCUUCCUCCCUCCCUCUCUUCCUCCUUUCCUCUCUCCUUUCCUUUCUUCUUUCCUUCCUUAUUUUCCCCCUUCCUUUUUAUCUUCCUCCUCUCUCUCCUGCCUUCCUCUCUCUUCCUUUCGUUCCUUCCUUCUCCCUCCUUCCUCUCUCUCCCUCCUUUUCCUUCUUUUCUUCCUUCUUUCCUUCCUUCCUUCCCUCCCUUCCCUCCUUUUCUCUCUCCUUCCUUCCUUCUUUCCUUCCUUUCUUCCUUCCUUUCCCCAUUUCUUCCUCCUCUCUCCCUCCUUUCCUUCUUUCCUUCCUUCCUUCCUUCCUUCCUUCCUUCCUUCCUUCCUUCCUUCCUUCCUUCCUUCCUUCCUUCCUUCCCUCCC
rnacentral:lncRNA from 1 species